AUAAUAAGAAACAUUACCUUAAUGGAAUUAUUUUACUAAAUACUCAAACUCUUGAUUCGGGUUCACAAAUCAUGAGAAUAGUUUUAAAGUUACUUUACAAUUUUAUACUCUAUCCUUUCAACUUAACGUAAGUUUUCAAACGACAAAGAUUCUCAGCUCUAUUCCUCUCAACUGCUUAAGCAGUAACUAUCCAACAAUUUGUCAAACACUAUCUUGUAGCGAACAGCCUAAGUUAGUUAAGGGGGAGUUUGAACUCGGCCAACGCAAGUACUGCCACUUAAGUGAUCUGUCCAGAUGUCUAAGUUGUAAAAUCGAUUAAUUUGUCUCUAAGACUUGCUGUCGUUGUUCGGUUUAAGGUGGAACUGUCUGUGGCAAGUAACUUAAUAAGGAAAUCUGGUUUAAGUGACUUUAUGAGAAACUAAUAGUCCUUUGUAAUUUUAGAAAUAGAAGUGCACCAUUCACAACGUAUGUAUAUGAUUUUAAGAAAUGUGAAAUUAGCUGCCACUUGUCAGUUUUCUAACGGAAUUAUUGUGAGUUAAAAACUUUAGGUAGAAGUACUGUCGAAAUACUCCUUUAAUUUUCUUUUUGUUUGUCUUUUACGCUUUACUUUUCAAGAAGGGGAAAAUUGUCGAUUUAACAUUUUUUUAUGUUCCUAACCUCAGAACCUCGUAUUUUGUUGAUUAUUUGUUGUGAUAUAGCUGUCAUUUGAUCUUGUAAAAAAAUCCAUUAAUUACGGCUCAGUAGUUUAGUUAUUAGAAAUCGGUUGUAGCAUGUACCUACGUCUUUGAUGUUAUAACAACAUUAUCAUCAUCAUCAUUGAUAUUAUUAAGCAACUCAAUUCUUAAACAAUCUCUUUUCAAGUAAUGCCAAUUAGUAGGUCCCUAGAAUAACUAUGUUUUCAGAAACCAGUUUGAACAAGCAUGAAGGUGGAACUACAGCCAACAGCUGAUGAACCAGUCAGACUCAGGAUGCUUCAUAUUGUCGUCUAGACAGCAGAAAACUUUAAAGCCCGGAUCCUCCAUUGUCUAGAACGAGGCAUAGUGAAGUUAAGAGUUGGUGCUUAUAGAAAAGAAGAUUUAUCCACAGAGCAGUUGGUGACUGGGACACAUUUAUUUUGAGGUGGCGAGUUCAAAAACGACAAAAGGCGUUCACUUGGUUAUAUUAUGUGUGCUGCAACUUAAAUUCGCGACACUGACAAUUUAUUAAUAAAUUGAUAUUGUUUA